AGUGAACGCUGGCGGUAGGCCUAACACAUGCAAGUCGAACGGCAGCACAGUAAGAGCUUGCUCUUACGGGUGGCGAGUGGCGGACGGGUGAGGAAUACAUCGGAAUCUACUUUUUCGUGGGGGAUAACGUAGGGAAACUUACGCUAAUACCGCAUACGACCUACGGGUGAAAGCAGGGGAUCUUCGGACCUUGCGCGAUUGAAUGAGCUGAUGUCGGAUUAGCUAGUUGGCGGGGUAAAGGCCCACCAAGGCAACGAUCCGUAGCUGGUCUGAGAGGAUGAUCAGCCACACUGGAACUGAGACACGGUCCAGACUCCUACGGGAGGCAGCAGUGGGGAAUAUUGGACAAUGGGCGAAAGCCUGAUCCAGCCAUACCGCGUGGGUGAAGAAGGCCUUCGGGUUGUAAAGCCCUUUUGUUGGGAAAGAAAAGCAGCAGGUUAAUACCCCGCUGUUCUGACGGUACCCAAAGAAUAAGCACCGGCUAACUUCGUG
rnacentral:rRNA from 1 species